AUGGUGUUUGAGAGUAGUCCUAGCUAUGCGGAGCUUUUGGAACAAGUGAGGAAAGAUUUGAAUUGGACGGACCCAAGUGACGUUGUUGAGUUCGAGGGAAGGCAUAAUGUUGGUUUUGGAAUGCACAUCCGUUGGAAGACAAUGCGUGUGAACUCCGAGCAACGUUGGGUUGCAUACAAGGAGACGGUUGCCGAAUCUCUAGACAAGGCUCUUGAGUUAUUUGUCUCCAAGAAGGUUGAGUCUACUUUGAAUUUAGACUUGAACCGGAACCCCUCCCCGUUGGUUGCUAGCACUCCCCCACCCAUGAACCAAGAUCAAAUGAGUGAACCUCAAUUCACGCAACAAGAUUGGCCAACAUUGAGCCCGACUCCAAACAACCAAAAUGAAGGUUUUGAAGAGGAGAAUGAUGAGUAUGGGGAGGAUGACAACGAAGUUGACCUCCAUGACAACAAUGUGGGUGAUCUCGACCAAUAUCAUGUGCAAGAGACAAUGGACCAAUCCAUCCCUUUUUCCCGUGCAUAUGCAUCGGACUCGGAUGACGAUGGUCCCGAUGAAGAAGUUGAUGAGGAGGGGUUCACGCCGAAGGAGGCCGAAGCAUUCAAGAAGGUAUUCGGGCGGGAUCACAAGACACCAUUGUUCAAGGAUCUUAGUCUCGCGGAUGAAGCCGUUGUGGAUGGUGGCAAAUGCAUAUCUCUUGGAGCUAGGCCAAGUUCUCACCGUGAUUUGGAAGACGGCAAGAACGGGAUAUAUCCCGGUUGUGAGUUUCAAUCCUUCUUGGAAUUGAAGAUGUGGCUCGACAACUACUCGGUUACACAUUAUCGUCCACAUAAAGUGGCCAACUCGGAUGUUAAUGUGCGUUACACGGUCAAAUGUGAAGUGCCAACAUGUCCAUGGAUUGUGCGUGCAAGGCCAUGGAAAGGAGGUCCC
rnacentral:rRNA from 1 species